rnacentral:lncRNA from 1 species
GAAGAAGAUGGAUCUGGAGAUUGUUGGCUCGUGAGAAUGGGUGCUGCCUCUUCCAGGUUUCCGAUGAUGAUGGCUUGCCAUGGGUGGUCUCUACGGUGUUGAUGACUACGGCAGCCAUAGGUUGAUGGUGGUGGCUACCGGUGUUGAUGACCUUGGGUUACUUAAUUACCCACUACAAUUUACCCUAAUUCAAUUUUUAAUAUAACCUAACUAUAUUAAAUUCCACAUCACAAUUUAUUAUUAUUUUUAAACACGUAAUAGUGCCAGCAAAGAGAAAACGUUACACGUCAUCAUAUAUUAGCC